CCUACGGGAGGCAGCAGUGGGGGAUAUUGCACAAUGGGGGGAACCCUGAUGCAGCGACGCCGCGUGGGUGAAGGAGUGCUUCGGCAUGUAACGCCCUAUCGGCAGGGAAGAAGCAAGACGGUACCUGACUAAGAAUCCCCGGCUAACUACGUGCCAGCAGCCGCGGUAAUACGUAGGGGGCGAGCGUUAUCCGGAUUCACUGGGUGUAAAGGGAGCGUAGACGGCCAUGCAAGCAAGGGGUGAAAGCCCGGGGCCAAACCCCGGGACUGCCCUUGGAACUGUGCGGCUAGAGUGCGGGAGGGGCAGGCGGAAUUCCUGGUGUAGCGGUGAAAUGCGUAGAUAUCAGGAGGAACACCGGCGGCGAAGGCGGCCUGCUGGACCGCGACUGACGUUGAGGCUCGAAAGCGUGGGGAGCGAACAGGAUUAGAUACCCUUGUAGUC
rnacentral:rRNA from 1 species